rnacentral:rRNA from 1 species
AGAGUUUGAUCCUGGCUCAGGAUGAACGCUGGCGGCGUGCUUAACACAUGCAAGUCGAACGGGAAACCUUUUAUUGAAGCUUCGGCAGAUUUAACUGGUUUCUAGUGGCGGACGGGUGAGUAACGCGUGGGUAACCUGCCUUGUACAGGGGGAUAACAGUCAGAAAUGACUGCUAAUACCGCAUAAGCGCACAGGACCGCAUGGUCCGGUGUGAAAAACUCCGGUGGUAUAAGAUGGACCCGCGUUGGAUUAGCUUGUUGGUGGGGUAACGGCCCACCAAGGCGACGAUCCAUAGCCGGCCUGAGAGGGUGAACGGCCACAUUGGGACCGAGACACGGUCCAAACUCCUACGGGAGGCAGCAGUGAGGAAUAUUGGUCAAUGGACGGAAGUCUGAACCAGCCAAGUAGCGUGCAGGAUGACGGCCCUAUGGGUUGUAAACUGCUUUUAUGUGGGAAUAAAGUGAGGGACGUGUCCCUUUUUGUAGGUACCACAUGAAUAAGGACCGGCUAAUUCCGUGCCAGCAGCCGCGGUAAUACGGAAGGUCCGGGCGUUAUCCGGAUUUAUUGGGUUUAAAGGGAGCGUAGGCCGUCUUUUAAGCGUGUUGUGAAAUACUGUCGCUCAACGACAGAGGUGCAGCGCGAACUGGGAGACUUGAGUGCGCGGAAUGCAGGCGGAAUUCGUCGUGUAGCGGUGAAAUGCUUAGAUAUGACGAAGAACUCCGAUUGCGAAGGCAGCUUGCAGUAGCGUAACUGACGCUGAAGCUCGAAAGUGCGGGUAUCGAACAGGAUUAGAUACCCUGGUAGUCCGCACGGUAAACGAUGGAUGCUCGCUGUGUGCCCCUGGGUACGCGGCCAAGCGAAAGCGUUAAGCAUCCCACCUGGGGAGUACGCCGGCAACGGUGAAACUCAAAGGAAUUGACGGGGGCCCGCACAAGCGGAGGAACAUGUGGUUUAAUUCGAUGAUACGCGAGGAACCUUACCCGGGCUUGAAUUGCAGGAGAACGAUACAGAGAUGUUGAGGUCCUUCGGGACUCCUGUGAAGGCGCUGCAUGGUUGUCGUCAGCUCGUGCCGUGAGGUGUCGGCUUAAGUGCCAUAACGAGCGCAACCCCUCUCCGUAGUUGCCAUCAGGUGAUGCUGGGCACUCUGCGGACACUGCCGCCGUAAGGUGUGAGGAAGGUGGGGAUGACGUCAAAUCAGCACGGCCCUUACGUCCGGGGCUACACACGUGUUACAAUGGGUCAUACAGAGUGUUGUGCGUAUGCAAAUACGUUCUAAUCAUUAAAAUGAUCCUCAGUUCGGAUUGGGGUCUGCAACCCGACCCCAUGAAGCUGGAUUCGCUAGUAAUCGCGCAUCAGCCAUGGCGCGGUGAAUACGUUCCCGGGCCUUGUACACACCGCCCGUCAAGCCAUGAAAGCCGGGGGCGCCUGAAGUCCGUAACCGCAAGGAUCGGCCUAGGGUGAAACCGGU